rnacentral:lncRNA from 1 species
CUAAAUCCAUGUGCUAGCCAAAGCCCCAGCAACACUUUCCUUUGAACCAGUGUCUCUGUGGGAGCGUUCUCCAAUAUAACUUUGUAAUGCCUUGGAAUGCCACAGAGCUCUUGGAAACCAGAAGGGUGGCACACGGCUGCCAGAGUGUGUCUUGUGUGGACUAGGAGAAGUCAGCUGAAAUGGCAGGCUGGCUCACACUGAGCUCUUAGCCGCUGUCGCAGUAAGGGAUGGAAGCAGAAGGUGGAAAGCUGGAGAAGCUCCGAUCUCUCACUGGAGAGAGGGGAG